GGUGGAAAGCUUUUGCGGUGUGGGAUGGGCCCGCGGCCUAUCAGCUNGUUGGUGGGGUAAUGGCCUACCAAGGCGACGACGGGUAGCCGGCCUGAGAGGGUGACCGGCCACACUGGGACUGAGAUACGGCCCAGACUCCUACGGGAGGCAGCAGUGGGGAAUAUUGCACAAUGGGCGCAAGCCUGAUGCAGCGACGCCGCGUGAGGGAUGACGGCCUUCGGGUUGUAAACCUCUUUCAGUAGGGACGAAGCGCAAGUGACGGUACCUAUAGAAGAAGGACCGGCCAACUACGUGCCAGCAGCCGCGGUAAUACGUAGGGUCCGAGCGUUGUCCGGAAUUACUGGGCGUAAAGAGCUCGUAGGUGGUUUGUCGCGUUGUUCGUGAAAACUCACAGCUCAACUGUGGGCGUGCGGGCGAUACGGGCAGACUUGAGUACUGCAGGGGAGACUGGAAUUCCUGGUGUAGCGGUGGAAUGCGCAGAUAUCAGGAGGAACACCGGUGGCGAAGGCGGGUCUCUGGGCAGUAACUGACGCUGAGGAGCGAAAGCGUGGGGAGCGAACAGGAUUAGAUACCCUGGUAGUCCACGCCGUAANNGGNNGGUACUAGGUGUGGGUUUCCUUCCUUGGGAUCCGUGCCGUAGCUAACGCA
rnacentral:rRNA from 1 species